AUUGAUGGUGGGGGUAAAAAAACUGCCACCAGAUUAACGUUAUGUCAAUUUGUAGCACCCAAAAAUCAACCCAAACUGUGUUUCAGGAAUAUUUUGUGGGGAAUAUUAUCUGUAGACAAACAGGAGUUGGUUUAUGUGUUACUGUGAGUUUGUACAUGUGUAUUUAUUUUUCUUUUGGGAGCUUGCUAGUUGGCCUAACUGCUAAUAUAGCAUUUUGGCUAACGUGUUUGAACCAUAGACUUUUACAGUAAUAUACAGUCGCUGGUUUGAACCAAGUUUGAUCAAACCGUGCCUCAAUCUGUGAUUGGAGAAGCCAGUGUCCACGCACUGGAAAUGAUCAAGAUGAAGUUAAAUCCUCAACUAAUCUGCAGGCUGCAUCUUGUCCUCUCACCAAGAAUGACCGCAGCGCCAUCUUGUGAAAGAAUAAAGAAACUGCUGCCCGCGGAACAGGUGCAUACUGAGCAGGUGGGCUCUUACGUAGGAGCCUUGAGAGUUUGGAGCUGGAGUAAAUCAUACUUCACGCUAUUUUAGGAGCUGAGAGAGAUGCAAGACAAAUGGAAAGAGAAACAAAAGAAAACCUGUGUGGGGUGUUGGUGGUGGGACUUGGAAGGAGCAACAGUGAGAGAGAAAUAUCUUAUGUGACAGAAAAGAGCAAAGGUUUUGCAAGGCAGACUGCACACAGAGAUAGGCACCUCCUGCUCCCCAUCUGGCCACUGAAGCUCCUCCAGCUGGUGGAGAGAUGACACACAGCACAGGGAGAUACGGUCAGCAACGUAGCAAUAAGCCAGAGUUACCGCUGAAUGUGAAAAACCAUGUGGAUCGUGAAAAAAGUACUUGAAUUUUGUGCAUGACUCACCAUUCAUAAGUGGCCACUUAUUACUAUAAUAUGCUUCUCAUGAAGUUACCUUCUUUCUAAAAACAAAGUACAAUGCAAUCUUUGCAAACAGAUGAAGAAAUGUAAACAAAGUCAAAAAACACUUAACCUAACAAAGUACAUCUUUCUUGCCAAUUUCCAAGAGGGUUUGUUUUUUUCUAAUACUUAAAAGUAAUUGAAAUCACCAUGGCAACAGAGCUUACCUUUGUUCAGUGAAAUAAAAAUAAAGAAAUGUGAAAUGCAGAAGACAUUAUGUUUUAAUACAGAAGCCACUGAGGUAUAAAAAAUGUGAUGAAAGGAAGGAAAAUUUGACUUUGGGACUACAAAAUGCCUCUUUUGGAGCUUUUUUACUAUUUGUCAUCAAAAUGAAAAGUGGGGCGCCUGGGUAGCUCACCUGGUAAAGCACGCACCCAAAUAUGGAGGUUUACUCCUUGACGCAGCAGCCGCAGGUUCGACUCUAACCUGCGGACCUUUGCUACAUGUCAUUCCCUCUCUCUCCACUUUCAUGUCUUUAGCUGUCCUAUAAAAAUAAAGGCCUAAAAUGCCCCCAAAAAUAAUCUA